rnacentral:rRNA from 1 species
UACGUAGGCAGCAAGCGUUGUUCGGAAUUACUGGGCGUAAAGAGUGUGUAGGCGGUGCUCCAAGUCUGGUGUGAAAUCCCCCGGCUUAGCUGGGAGGGUGCAUUAGAAACUGGAAUGCUAGAGGAUGGGAGAGGUAAGCGGAAUUCCUGGUGUAGCGGUGAAAUGCGUAGAUAUCAGGAGGAACACCUGUGGUGUAGACAGCUUACUGGACCAUUUCUGACGCUGAGACACGAAAGCGUGGGUAGCAAACAGG